UGCAAUUGGUAGCUGACAAGGAAAUCGUGCUGCGUAUCAGGUACAUUAGGCCGUCCGACAGUUUGACCGCUAGUGCAUUGCUGGGACGGAAGAGUGUACAAUCUGAGGCUAUACAGCACCACGGCUUCAUCCCCGCAAACAUCGACCUGACCAUCAUCGUGACUCCAACGGCUUUCAAUAUUUCUCUCAGUGGGGGAGCGACUUUCACGUAUCCAUAUGAAUCCUCCCUAAGGAACGUGAAGCUCAUCAAUGUAUCUUCAGGCACCAAGAUAGGGUCUCUGACCGUCCUUAAUAAAGAGUAAUAAUCACCCUGGUGUGUAAAGCCUCAUGCAAAUGAAGUGGUUCAGUGGGUAAAGCGUUCGCUAGUCAAGUCUAAAGACGGUUUAGAUUCUCAACAGUAAUAUUUGCUGUUCUCAAAGGUGUACGCCACCAUUUUACUAGCAGCGGCGUCAAACUACACUCAUUCACUGUAUAUUUAACUGUACUCAUUCACCAAAGUUGUUCAUAUUCCUGACCAUCGACUUACAUGGUACCAAGGGACAGAAGGUGUACUGAGUAUUUUAUUCUUCUUUUUGUAAACUGAAAAAUGUUGCCUAAUUUGAUUUUGUCUGUUUUACUGUCACUCAUCACUCCAACAGCUUGUUUAUCCGUGCCAGUGUAAUUUUGUGUAAAACUAAUUUGGUUCAGUGAGGACGAGGGUAAUAAUAUUUAUGUAUUCGAACCUCGUGAGGCCUCCUGUGAUUUGCAAUGGUGGAAAUUUGUCUCGAAAAAUGCAAAUAUGUACUUUUACAAAGUUAAGCUAUCUGAGGUACGUUCCUCAGUCUAUUGAUAAGGGUACUGUUUGGUGCCACGAACCCAAGGUCGCUGUAUAAGAGUCAUGCAAUCCGCACUUAAUAAAGAUGUAUGUUGUUUUCAAAA